rnacentral:rRNA from 1 species
GACGUAGGGCGCGAGCGUUGUCCGGAUUUAUUGGGCGUAAAGAGCUCGUAGGCGGUUUGUCGCGUCGUCUGUGAAAACCCACGGCUCAACCUGUGAAUGCCGCUGGAAACUGUCUGGCUAGAGUCCGGAAGGGGCGAGUGGAAUUCCUGGUGUAGCGGUGGAAUGCGUAGAGAUCGGGAAGAACACCGGUGGCGAAGGCGGUCUGGCUGGGCAGUAGCUGACACUGAGGCGCGACAGCGUGGGGAGCAAACAGG